rnacentral:rRNA from 1 species
CAAUAGCGUAUAUUAAAGUUGUUGCAGUUAAAAAGCUCGUAGUUGGAUUUCUGGUGAGAUGAAUUAUGUCUGGAUGGAAACGUCUCGUACAUGGUUUGUUUUGCCCUUCUUGUCAGGAACCCGUUGGGAUUCACUUCUCGACGGUGGAAUGGCAUCGUUUACUGUGAAAAAAUUAGAGUGUUCAAAGCAGGCAUCGCCGUUGAAUACAUUAGCAUGGAAUAAUAAGAUAAGACUUUGGUGGUCUAUUUUGUUGGUUUGCACGCCAAAGUAAUGAUUAAUAGGGAUAGUUGGGGGUAUUUAUAUUCCGAUGUCAGAGGUGAAAUUCUUAGAUUUUCGGAAGAUAAACUUAUGCGAAAGCAUUUACCAAGGAUGUUUUCAUUAA